rnacentral:misc_RNA from 1 species
GAUGAAGAACGUAGCGAAAUGCGAUAAGUAAUGUGAAUUGCAGAAUUCAGUGAAUCAUCGAAUCUUUGAACACACAUUGCGCCCGGCAGUACUCUGCCGGGCAUGCCUGUUCGAGCGUCAUUUCAACCCUCAAGCCCUGCUUGGUGUUGGGGUCCCACGGCCGCCGUGGGCCCUGAAAGGAAGUGGCGGGCUCGCUACAACUCCGAGCGUAGUAAUUCAUUAUCUCGCUUAGGGCGUUGGGCGGCGCUCCUGCCGUUAAAGAACCAUCUUUAACUCAAGGUUGACCUCGGAUCAGGUAGGAAUACCCGCUGAACUUAAGCAUAUCAAUAAGCGGAGGA